rnacentral:rRNA from 1 species
GAUGAACGCUGGCUACAGGCUUAACACAUGCAAGUCGAGGGGAAACGACGGGGAAGCUUGCUUCCCCGGGCGUCGACCGGCGCACGGGUGAGUAACGCGUAUCCAACCUGCCUCUGACUGAGGGAUAACCCGUCGAAAGUCGGCCUAAUACCUCAUGGUAUCGUCUGCGGGCAUCCAACGACGAUUAAAGAUUUCAUCGGUCAGGGAUGGGGAUGCGUCUGAUUAGCUUGUUGGCGGGGUAACGGCCCACCAAGGCUACGAUCAGUAGGGGUUCUGAGAGGAGGGUCCCCCACAUUGGAACUGAGACACGGUCCAAACUCCUACGGGAGGCAGCAGUGAGGAAUAUUGAUCAAUGGGCGAGAGCCUGAACCAGCCAAGUAGCGUGCAGGAAGACGGCCCUAUGGGUUGUAAACUGCUUUUAUGCGGGGAUAAAGUGAGGGACGUGUCCCUCAUUGCAGGUACCGCAUGAAUAAGGACCGGCUAAUUCCGUG